AUGCAUCUCUGACAGACUUGGAGUAGUUAAUGUCUGCUGCUAAGGUUUCUACUAUAGAUGCAAGAGAAAGAAGGUCCUUGUACUUUCCGUCUUUCUGGUUGUGGCAGCCAAGAUUGAAUGGGGGAAUAUGGGA
rnacentral:snoRNA from 1 species